CCAGGUGCCUCUAACAAGCUACUCUGUCCAACUGAGAUCAGAAGUCGUAGAUGAGACUCUGCCUAUGCUUUUCUGUCCUGGAGAAUAUGCCCCUUUUUUCUAAUCCUCAUUGUACCAGACACCUAUGGUUUCGGUCACUCCUGGGGAGUCACGUGGAUACUGUAAGCUGCAAAUCACAGUAACUUCUUCUUGGACAGUACCCUGGAGUCCAGCUUUAUGCAAACGAAUGCUUUGACCCUGGAAGCCACAUGUUGAAGAUGGAGGAGGCACCGCUUGGAAGAGUCCUGAAUCGCUGCCAGAGCACAGUUGCGAUAGGUUUUGGGCUUCAUGAAGAAAAAAACAGCUAUUGCGCUUAAACACUAUUUAUUUUGAGAUGUAACAUGAGGUAGUGUUAUUGUAGCUAAUACAUUUAUCACUGUCUCUCAAAUUGUCUGAAAUAAACUGACAGUGUAUUGGCAGGCCAUGCUGGGUGAGUGUGGGUCCUGAGGAGAAGCAUGCAGGACAGAUGAUCUGGCAAAAACAUCCACCCGGUCAAUGCUGCUCAUGGUUCGUGGACAAUCUUAAGACUGCUAAUUACUUUUCCUGACUUGAGGAAGCUGAGUCCUUUUUUGCCUUCUAGUCAUUUCUAGAAGUUCCAAAUGGAUAGCAGGCAAUAUGCUCUCAGACCACGAGCAGCAACAGGAUGUGGAGAAAACUCAGGCAGCUGUGUGUGUGCCACGGCUCUUCUCUCCUGCUUUUCAUUGUGGAGGAGGAGUCCCUUAUCCGGAAUACUAUACGAAUCAAAGUGUGCUCUAUUGAAACCAGAUGGAGCAGCAGCAUUCUGAAGCUUAUUCUGAAACCCAGGGGAUAUGCAUCAUAAAUAAAUAAACAAUGCACAAUUGAUAAAUCAAGCGGGAAUGAGUUUAACAGUUGAGAUGGAAAAGUAGCUGAAAAAGUGCUCGCUGAUGAAAGAUCUGCAUGUGACCCAGGUACUCCUCACUUGAACAGGCGGCCCACACAGGCUGAUUUCAUUAAGCUAGGGGCUCGGGACAGAAGCAUUAUGGAGGUAGAUGCCACUGGCCACUUUGCAUCACCAAUAUGCUGAUCCAUCUUGUUCACCACUUAUAACAGCAAGACAUUUUCAAGUGCUGUUUUUCUUUUAAUACAUUCUCCUUCCUUUAAGUCUUAUAUAAUUCAAUUAUCAUCCCAUGUGAGAACUGGUUUAAAGAGAAACUUAAGUAGAGUUAAUUCACUGUGAAGGGUUAUGGACGUUAUAUUUACUGCAGAGAGUCACCAGCUGUGUCAUGGAGUAUCUAUUAUAUUCCUGACCUCACACCAGGUUCUGGGAACACAAAUGUGUAUUAAGAGCCAGCCUGUGGCCUUAGGAGUUUAUGUCCUGGUAGCUGAGAGAUAUAUUCAAUCGCUGAGUAAAGAAGCGUUCCAGAUAGCAGGGACCAAGAAAAUGUGCACGAUGUCUAGUGAUCAGCUCUAAAGAGGGAGGGGAUAUGUGUAGAGAGUGGCAGAGAACAGAGGUUGCAGAGCAGUGAAGAAAAUCCAUCUGUCUCACCAGAAGGUCCUAGCACCUGCUGUCUACCAAGGAGAAGCGCUCAAGAUGAUGGUAUUGAAUAAGGGGGCUGUUGUACAUAGUGACAUGAACAACUGCAGGUUGGGGUGAUUGCAGACAAUUGAAGCCAAGCGGGAAACAGGACCCACAGGAGAGAAAUGAGUGGCGGGCCUGGCGGUUGG